rnacentral:rRNA from 2 species
GGGGGAUAUUGCACAAUGGGGGAAACCCUGAUGCAGCGACGCCGCGUGGAGGAAGAAGGUUUUCGGAUUGUAAACUCCUGUCGUUAGGGACGAUAAUGACAGUACCUAACAAGAAAGCACCGGCUAACUACGUGCCAGCAGCCGCGGUAAAACGUAGGGUGCAAGCGUUGUCCGGAAUUACUGGGUGUAAAGGGAGCGCAGGCGGACCGGCAAGUUGGAAGUGAAAACUAUGGGCUCAACCCAUAAAUUGCUUUCAAAACUGCUGGCCUUGAGUAGUGCAGAGGUAGGUGGAAUUCCCGGUGUAGCGGUGGAAUGCGUAGAUAUCGGGAGGAACACCAGUGGCGAAGGCGACCUACUGGGCACCAACUGACGCUGAGGCUCGAAAGCAUGGGUAGCAAACAGGAUUAGAUACCCUGGUAGUCCAUGCCGUAAACGAUGAUUACUAGGUGUUGGAGGAUUGACCCCUUCAGUGCCGCAGUUAACACAAUAAGUAAUCCACCUGGGGAGUACGACCGCAAGGUUGAAACUCAAAGGAAUUGACGGGGGCCCGCACAAGCAGUGGAGUAUGUGGUUUAAUUCGAAGCAACGCGAAGAACCUUACCAGGUCUUGACAUCCGAUGCAUAGUGCAGAGAUGCAUGAAGUCCUUCGGGACAUCGAGACAGGUGGUGCAUGGUUGUCGUCAGCUCGUGUCGUGAGAUGUUGGGUUAAGUCCCGCAACGAGCGCAACCCUUAUUGCCAGUUACUACGAAAGAGGACUCUGGCGAGACUGCCGUUGACAAAACGGAGGAAGGUGGGGAUGACGUCAAAUCAUCAUGCCCUUUAUGACCUGGGCUACACACGUACUACAAUGGCGUUUAACAAAGAGAAGCAAGACCGCGAGGUGGAGCAAAACUCAAAAACAACGUCUCAGUUCAGAUUGCAGGCUGCAACUCGCCUGCAUGAAGUCGGAAUUGCUAGUAAUCGCGGAUCAGCAUGCCGCGGUGAAUACGUUCCCG